UGAGGAAUAUUGGUCAAUGGGCGCGAGCCUGAACCAGCCAAGUCGCGUGAGGGAAUAAGGCCCUAUGGGUUGUAAACCUCUUUUGUCAGGGAGCAAUAGAAGGUCGUGACCUUCGAUGAGAGUACCUGAAGAAAAAGCAUCGGCUAACUCCGUGCCAGCAGCCGCGGUAAUACGGAGGAUGCGAGCGUUAUCCGGAUUUAUUGGGUUUAAAGGGUGCGUAGGCGGGCUGUUAAGUCAGCGGUAAAAUUGUGGAGCUUAACUCCAUCGAGCCGUUGAAACUGGCGACCUUGAGUGAGUGAGAGGUAUGCGGAAUGUGUGGUGUAGCGGUGAAAUGCAUAGAUAUCACGCAGAACUCCAAUUGCGAAGGCAGCAUACCGGUGCUCAACUGACGCUGAGGCACGAAAGCGUGGGGAUCAAACAGG
rnacentral:rRNA from 1 species